GGAAGAGGGGCAGCCAAGAGAGGCUGGCUGCCAGGCAGACACCUCUGUGCUUGCUGCCUGCUGGGCAGAAGGAAAGCCUGCCUCUGGAAAGGCGAGAGCACCAGCACACAAACCCUCCUGCUCCCUGCACAACAACAGCGACAGCAGCCAGGGCCUGGGCACAGGCAUGAAAGCACCUUUGUGAGGAAGUUGUAUCUGGCAGGGAGGACACAAGGAGCAGCUCUGCUCCUGGGGAACAUCGACUGCCCCACUGUCUGCGAUGUGCAAGUCAUGAAGAGUGCUCCUCAUUCGUUUUGCAUCCCUUCAUUGCCAAUAAAAUAGACCUUGCUUCCAACAUUUGACUAUUACCAUGAAGUCCACAGUGCUCAAGCCCAUCAAAAAGUGAAGAAAUGCGCAGAGUGACUCCUAUGAGAUCAUUUACUCCCAGUGAAGAGCAAUUAAUGGAUUGCAAGUCAUGGUUGGCAGUCCUGGGAACCACAAAACCAGAUGGGUGGGAUCGAAGCGGUAAGAGAUCUCUUCUGCUCCAGAGCAAUGAAAGACUGGAUUUCACCACUGCUGCCCUCCCUACUUUACACUGACAGUCCCAUAUCCCCCCUCUAUCACCAGUGUAUAAUACUGUCAUAGGGUGCUCUGAUUUUCUAAGUGUACUUUGAAACACUGAAAAUAUUGACUGGGAGAAUGUUUUUUAGGUAAUCAGUCAUUUUUACUAUGCAUCCUUCAGUGUUCAUGGACCUUUCCAGGCUAUUACACACUUCAAAGAAGCUUACGAUUACCUCCUCAGGAGCUGGAGAAAAAGCAUGAGAUUAUUCUCUACUACCUAAUUCAUUCAAAUGGAGUUAACUAAUUUUUAUAACAUUUUCUAAAUUGUUUGUCCCAAAAGCAAGAACACACUUUUACUUUUGUAAUGCAUGCCUGCAAAUGAAAAUUACUUCUGCUGUGGAAUUUUCUACAGGCCUUGCUAGAUGACAGUCCAGACUCAACUGCACCGUUGCAAAGUGCACUGUGUCCACAGAAUUUAACUCCUGGUGUUUAAAAAUUCUGAGAGUUGAAUUGGGCAUAAUUAAUCUGGAGGUCAAAUUACAUCAUUAUUGUAUUUUCUUGCACAUUUGUCUCUGCUUUUCUGAGUCUGCAAAACAGCUUCUGCAGCCUCUGACCUUAACCAGGCAGCCAGCCAACCUGCCCAGUGUGUGCCACUGAGAGCCAGAGACGAGUCUUGGCGAGGUCACACAAGAGCAUCUUGCUAACACCCCUCCUGCACUUGAGACCUUUGGGCCAUUCUUGCCCUGCACCCUUCCCAGCCUUUGAUCCUCUCCCUCUCUCAGAGGCUGUGGAAGUGCAGGAUAUUCUCGUACUCAUUUCUGGUACAUCUUUCUGAAAAUCCUGCUAUGAUGACAGUCACAAGUGGUGAAAUGCUGAAUAAACAUUCUCUGAGGAAUUCUAAAGAGGUUUAAACUGUAUUAAAAAUGAAAGCAUAUUUUGGCAGUCAAGCUACCUGUCCACAUCAAGAAAGGGGGAGAUCUAAGCAACAAAGCUGUGCUGGAGACAGUUCAAUCCAACUCAGUUAAGCCAGAUACUGAAACUGCAGCCAGUGUUCACUGCUUGUUACAACCUGCUUUCCAGCAAGCCUUGCUGCCUGCUCUCCUGGGAAUUGCCUUUCCCCACCUCGCUUCAGCAAGCCAUCCACCCUUCUCCUCUCUGCAGGGAGCUAGAAUUCCCUGCCUACAUUCCCAUGUAAGGAGGAGGGACAAUUUCUGAUGGCGUCUUACUAUUCAUCCAUUUCCCCCCUAAAUGUCACUUGGCUGGUGUGCCACGCUUGGCAUGAGAUGCCAGCACAGGCCCACACCUUAUCCCACACAGAGUCUGUGGAUUUGAAAUCACAGACUGAUGAUACCCAAAAAUUUUGCAUGUGUUCUCCAAAGAUCCAAGAGUAUUUCCCUGCACAGGAGCCUGCAAAGAACCCACCCUGGCACCCACCAGCAGCCAGCCCUCUAUGCAUGAGAGCAGCAAGGCAGCACUGCAAAGAAGAAUGCCAGGCACUGCUGUAUUUAUGUGUUUUUCAGGAGCCAUGCUUAGAGGAACACUUGGCAUUUAUCUUUCAGGCAGUGUGAGUCCAGCCCACACAAACCCUGUGCCAACUGAAGGCAUUGCAGUCUCCCCCCUCCUCCUCUCUCCCUGGUGUUCCCAGCGUGCAGACACCUGGAACCCCACCACAGCCCCUUGGCUCCCCUCCAAGCACCAAGUCCUGGCCCUUCCUGCCAGCUCUCAAUGUCAAAUGCAAAAAACAAACCUUAAUAGUCUCUAUUGAACACCAGCUCCUAGGAAUCAAUAAAAAUUUAUGUGAUAUAUAUCUAUCUAAUCUGUCUUUCUCUACCUGUGAAGGCAGAGGGAAUUAAUACAGAAAAUCAGAUAAGACUGUUAAUUUCAACGUUGAAAUUGUAUAACAGCAUUGUACUACAAUCUUUCUGUGAGUUUUUAAAUAUCAUUGAUCCUUUCCCUAUCAAAUUCCUCUUUAAAAGCCUUUAUUCUAUCAACUUUUAAUGGCUUUUUUUGAUAGUAUCGUCUAUCUAGGCUUUUAAAAAUACCAUAUGUCACAGGAUUGUAAUAUAAAGCACAUAUAAACAGCACAUAAAAAGCAGAAAUUACAAGACAAUCACACCCUAAAAGCCAUAAAUUCAGUGCAAAACCUCAUUAAUUGUGCAGCCAACUUUAAGCAUAUCUUCUGGGUAUAUAAAUUAACUUUUAGUGUAAGAAAAUGGUCUGAUAACACUUGCGAGAUUGGGAAGUUUCAUCCAUGAACAUAUAAGGACUUGAAAUGAAAGCUGAAAAAAGACUUAGUGUCUCCAUGGUACUCAGAACUGGGUCUGGAUAUAACUUCCCAAACUGUAGGAGGAAAAAGAACUAACUUUGCUACCAUGGAAACAGAACAGUGCAGUAUAACUGAUUGUUACUUGUCUGCCUUUACAAGACAAAUUGCUAAAAUGUUAAGGCCUUCAAUAACACGGGCAGUUUUGUUUCCACCUGAGAAGUUAACCUUCAGGAAAGGACCAAGAACAAACUCACCAAACAAGAGGGAGCAGCCCAGGAAUGACAGGCAUUCCUAGGAAAAGCAGGGGAUUAGACAGAGAGGAAGAUGGAGAAGGAAGAUAUCCUGGUGCAUGAAGGAAGAGGGGAAGAAGGGUUUGGUUUGAUUAGCAAGACGGGAAGAAAAGGCCCUUAAAAUGAAGGACUGGAUCCUGGCCGUGCUAAAAUAAACUUUGUGUAUAAAUUGGGCAGCAAA
rnacentral:lncRNA from 1 species